AUUGAACGCUGGCGGCAUGCCUUACACAUGCAAGUCGAACGGCAGCACGGGUGCUUGCACCUGGUGGCGAGUGGCGAACGGGUGAGUAAUACAUCGGAACAUGUCCUGUAGUGGGGGAUAGCCCGGCGAAAGCCGGAUUAAUACCGCAUACGAUCUACGGAUGAAAGCGGGGGACCUUCGGGCCUCGCGCUAUAGGGUGGCCGAUGGCUGAUUAGCUAGUUGGUGGGGUAAAGGCCUACCAAGGCGACGAUCAGUAGCUGGUCUGAGAGGACGACCAGCCACACUGGGACUGAGACACGGCCCAGACUCCUACGGGAGGCAGCAGUGGGGAAUUUUGGACAAUGGGCGAAAGCCUGAUCCAGCAAUGCCGCGUGUGUGAAGAAGGCCUUCGGGUUGUAAAGCACUUUUGUCCGGAAAGAAAUCCUUGGCCCUAAUACGGUCGGGGGAUGACGGUACCGGAAGAAUAAGCACCAGCUAACUACGUG
rnacentral:rRNA from 1 species